rnacentral:rRNA from 1 species
GCUAAAUAGCCNGGCCGGCUUUCGCUGGUCGCCGGCGUUCUUAGAGGGACUGUCAGCGUCUAGCUGACGGAAGGUUUGAGGCAAUAACAGGUCUGUGAUGCCCUUAGAUGUUCUGGGCCGCACGCGCGCUACACUGACAGAGCCAGCGAGUUUUUCACCUUGGCCGGAAGGUCUGGGUAAUCUUGUGAAACUCUGUCGUGCUGGGGAUAGAGCAUUGCAAUC